rnacentral:lncRNA from 1 species
ACCUACACACGCGAACAAAUCAAGUUCAGAUGACAAGAAAAUACAAAUGGGUUUCCUAUACUGUCAACAGUGGGUACAAUUUGUUUUUGUCAAACUAGUGAUUUAUGGAGGUAGCUUUGUCACUGAUGUUUGGACUAAAUGAAGCUAGACCUUAUAAGAACCUAAAUGAACAUUAAAAAUACAAUAAAUUUAAAAAUCAAAAUCAGAAAAAGGAAAGGAAGGCUAACAUACGAGUACUAUUCGAAGGUGCAGUAGAAAUAGAGCCUGGUUGAGCUCAAUUUGUUUCUGUUUUGGAAAGGGAGUUGGGGAUAAUUGAAUAACUUAAGAGGAACCUAAAAAUAAUGAACAAAGGUCCGCACACCUUUGAACCCUCACAACUUGUCACUCCCUUCCUCCCGAUUCAAACUUUGUUUUCACUUCUCCACUCUCUCUCAAAUUUUUUAGAGUAGAAUUUUAUAAUUUUUUUUACAAGAUAGAU